rnacentral:rRNA from 1 species
CAGCAGUGAGGAAGGUGGGUAUGUUAAUAGCCAUAUUCAUUUUGACGUUUAGCUGCAGAAGAAGUCACCGGCUAAACUCCGUGCCAGCAGCCGCGGUAAUACGGAGGGUGCGAGCGUUAAUCGGAAUUACUGGGCGUAAAGCGCAUGCAGGUGGUUUGUUAAGUCAGAUGUGAAAGCCCCGGGGCUCAACCUCGGAAUUGCCAUUUUGAAACUGGCAAACUAGAGUACUGUAGAGGGGGUAGAAUUUCAGGUGUAGCGGUGAAAUGCGUAGAGAUCUGAAGGAAUACCCGGUGGCGAAGGCGGCCCCCCUGGACAGAUACUGACACUCAGAUGCGAAAGCGUGGGGAGCAAACAGGAUUAGAUACCCUGGUAG